rnacentral:rRNA from 1 species
CGCGUAGGCGGGCGUCUAAGUCAGGGGUGAAAUCCCGAGGCUCAACCUCGGAAUUGCCUUUGAUACUGGAUGUCUCGAGACCGGAAGAGGUGAGUGGAACUGCGAGUGUAGAGGUGAAAUUCGUAGAUAUUCGCAAGAACACCAGUGGCGAAGGCGGCUCACUGGUCCGGUUCUGACGCUGAGGCGCGAAAGCGUGGGAGCAAACA